GAGUUGCCGGCCCCGCCGAGCUGCCAACCUCGCUGAGCUGCCCGUCCCGCCGAGCUGCCGACCACGCUGGCUGGCGCCGAGCUUCAGCGGCCCUGGGCCGCACGGAGCCGCACGGAGCCGCAGCAGCCCCGCUCACGGACACGCUGUCCUCCCUCAGCACAGCCCGUAGGCAGCCGCUGGGCCUGCACCGCCUGCUGGCAAUGUAGGAUCACCCCCAUAAGGUUCAUCAUCAGUUCAACAAAACAAUCCUUUUCCGGCAAGAUCCAAGGACACUGUUGGACACUGUUGCAGCUUCAGCCCCAAAAAGUAAAAACAGAGAUGAGGAGAGCAAUUUGGGAGGACAGGACAUCAUAACCUGAAGGUGUAAUUGGACAACUGACCCCAAUGUGUAAAUGGACCAAAACUUAUAAAACUGUGAAAACUCAUGAUUGGUUGCCCUUCGUGUGUCCAACUUGGGUCCAUCUUGGGCAGAGCCGUGGCCAGGCUCUUGUACAGCCCAAAGUGUAUCCUUUGAAGGCCUUUUAAUAAAUAGCUACUUCAUUCCUUCUUAA